GUCUAAGUAUAAGCAACUAUACGGUGAAACUGCGAAUGGCUCAUUAAAUCAGUUAUCGUUUAUUUGAUAGUACCUUACUACAUGGAUAACCGUGGUAAUUCUAGAGCUAAUACAUGCUAAAAACCCCGACUUCGGAAGGGGUGUAUUUAUUAGAUAAAAAACCAAUGCCCUUCGGGGCUCCUUGGUGAAUCAUAAUAACUUAACGAAUCGCAUGGCCUUGCGCCGGCGAUGGUUCAUUCAAAUUUCUGCCCUAUCAACUUUCGAUGGUAGGAUAGUGGCCUACCAUGGUAUCAACGGGUAACGGGGAAUUAGGGUUCGACUCCGGAGAGGGAGCCUGAGAAACGGCUACCACAUCCAAGGAAGGCAGCAGGCGCGCAAAUUACCCAAUCCCGACACGGGGAGGUAGUGACAAUAAAUACUGAUACAGGGCUCUUUUGGGUCUUGUAAUUGGAAUGAGUACAAUUUAAAUCCCUUAACGAGGAACAAUUGGAGGGCAAGUCUGGUGCCAGCAGCCGCGGUAAUUCCAGCUCCAAUAGCGUAUAUUAAAGUUGUUGCAGUUAAAAAGCUCGUAGUUGAACCUUGGGCCUGGCUGGCCGGUCCGCCUCACCGCGUGUACUGGUCCGGCCGGGCCUUUCCUUCUGGGGAACCUCAUGCCCUUCACUGGGCGUGCUGGGGAACCAGGACUUUUACUUUGAAAAAAUUAGAGUGUUCAAAGCAGGCCUUUGCUCGAAUACAUUAGCAUGGAAUAAUAGAAUAGGACGUGUGGUUCUAUUUUGUUGGUUUCUAGGACCGCCGUAAUGAUUAAUAGGGAUAGUCGGGGGCAUCAGUAUUCAAGCGUCAGAGGUGAAAUUCUUGGAUUGCUUGAAGACUAACUACUGCGAAAGCAUUUGCCAAGGAUGUUUUCAUUAAUCAGUGAACGAAAGUUAGGGGAUCGAAGACGAUCAGAUACCGUCGUAGUCUUAACCAUAAACUAUGCCGACUAGGGAUCGGACGGUGUUAGUAUUUUGACCCGUUCGGCACCUUACGAGAAAUCAAAGUUUUUGGGUUCUGGGGGGAGUAUGGUCGCAAG
rnacentral:rRNA from 1 species